rnacentral:rRNA from 1 species
GACGAACGCUGGCGGCGUGCUUAACACAUGCAAGUCGAACGGAAAGGCCCUGCUUUUUUGGGGUGCUCAUGUGGCGACCGGGUACGUACAACGUGAGUAACCUGCCCUUGACUUUGGGGAAACUUCAGGAACCGGGGGCUAAUACCGGCAUGAAGCUCCUCCUGCCUGUGGGGGGUCGGAAAGUUUGGGCGGUGGGAGAUGGACUCGCGGCCAAUCAGCUUGUUGGUGGGGUCGUGGCUUACCAAGGCUUUGACGGGUAGCCGGCCUGAGAGGGUGAACGGACACAUUGGAACUGAGAUACGGCCCAGACUACUGCGGGAGGCAGCAGUGGGGAAUAUUGCACAAGGGGCGGAAGCCUGAUGCAGCAACGCCGCGUGCGGGAUGACGGCCUUCGGGGUGUAAACCGCUUUCGCCUGUGACGAAGCGUGAGUGACGGUAAUGUGUAAAGAAGCACCGGCUAACUACGUG